AUUGAACGCUGGCGGCAUGCUUUACACAUGCAAGUCGAACGGCAGCGCGGGCUUCGGCCUGGCGGCGAGUGGCGAACGGGUGAGUAAUACAUCGGAACUUGCCCAGUAGUGGGGGAUAGCUCGGCGAAAGCCGGAUUAAUACCUCAUACGACCUGAGGGUGAAAGCGGGGGAUCUUCGGACCUCGCGCUAUUGGAUCGGCCGAUGGCAGAUUAGCUAGUUGGUGGGGUAAAGGCCUACCAAGGCGACGAUCUGUAGCUGGUCUGAGAGGACGACCAGCCACACUGGGACUGAGACACGGCCCAGACUCCUACGGGAGGCAGCAGUGGGGAAUUUUGGACAAUGGGCGAAAGCCUGAUCAAGCAAUGCCGCGUGAGUGAUGAAGGCCUUCGGGUUGUAAAGCACUUUUGGCGGGAACGAAAAGGACUGUGCCAAUACCACGGUUCGAUGACGGUACCCGCAGAAUAAGCACCGGCUAACUACGUG
rnacentral:rRNA from 1 species